UUUCGCAAUGCCCGAAAGGGUGACGAAGCGACGCCGCGUGGACGACGAAGGCCCUCGGGUUGUAAAGUCCUGUCAGGUGGGAAGAACAGCAUAGGGAUGAAUAAACCCUAUGCCUGACGUUACCAUCAGAGGAAGCACCAGCAAACUUCGUGCCAGCAGCUGCGGUAAUACGAAGGGUGCGAGCGUUGUUCGGAAUCACUGGGCUUAAAGGGCACGUAGGCGGGGAGAUAAAUCAGGAGUGAAAGCCCGGCGCUCAACGUCGGAAUGUCUCUUGAAAAUGUCUCUCUCGAGUGCAGGAGGGGAGAAUGGAACUCUUAGUGGAGCGGUGAAAUGCGUAGAUAUUAAGGGGAACGCCGGCGGCGAAAGCGGCUCUCUGGCCUGCUACUGACGCUGAGGUGCGAAAGCUAGGGGAGCAAAAAGGAUUAGAUACCCUUGUAGUCCUAGCCGUAAACGAUGGGCACUAAGUAGAGGGGUUUU
rnacentral:rRNA from 1 species